rnacentral:rRNA from 1 species
UACGUAGGGUGCGAGCGUUAAUCGGAAUUACUGGGCGUAAAGCGCACGUAGGCGGUUUUUUAAGUCAGAUGUGAAAGCCCCGGGCUCAACCUGGGAAUUGCAUUCAAAACUGGCUAACUAGAGUAUGUGAGAGGGGGGUAGAAUUCCAAGUGUAGCGGUGAAAUGCGUAGAGAUUUGGAGGAAUACCAGUGGCGAAGGCGGCCCCCUGGCACGAUACUGACGCUCAGGUGCGAAAGCGUGGGGAGCAAACAGG